UGGGGAAUUUUGUGCAAUGGGGGAAACCCUGACACAGCGACACCGCGUGAGCGAAGAAGCCCUUUGGGGUGUAAAGCUCUGUCAGCUGGAACGAAAAAAAUGACGGUACCAGCAGAGGAAGCAUCGGCUAACUACGUGCCAGCAGCCGCGGUAAGACGUAGGAUGCAAGCGUUGUCCGGAUUUAUUGGGCGUAAAGAGUUCGUAGGCGGUUCGUUAAGUCUGAUGUUAAAGAUCGGGGCCCAACCCUGAGAGUGCAUUGGAUACUGGCGAACUGGAGUGCAGUAGAGGCGAGUGGAAUUCCCAGUGUAGCGGUGAAAUGCGUAGAUAUUGGGAAGAACACCGGUGGCGUAGGCGACUCGCUGGGCUGUAACUGACGCUGAGGAACGAAAGCCAGGGGAGCGAAUGGGAUUAGAUACCCCCGUAGUCC
rnacentral:rRNA from 1 species